UAAGUAACUAAGUAAAAAAUUGUCAAUUCAAUUUCAUUCUGCAAAUCAAAAUCUUUAAACUUCUUUGACAUAUUCAAUCUAAAAAGCUAUGUAUUUUUGAUCCAGAUUUAUUACGACAGGACUAAAUUCAUUUUCCGUCAAUCGGUUUUCUAUCACAAAAGUAACACAAUCUUUACAAUCAAGCUUGAUACAUCGUCCCAAAUCAGCAUCACGCACUUUCAUUCAAUACACCGGCAGCAUAGCUGGCUGUUAUAUUAUACACUAUUGAUUUGCUCCACUCACGGAUAACAUAAUCAAUAUCAAAUGGUCUUGAGCUUACGGAUAAAUCAGUGAACCACCUCUGUGUACAAACACAAUGUUUAAUACAAGCUUUUACUUGUAGAGUGUGCCGCUAACGCCAGUGGGUAACUACCGGAAAAAUCGAAGGAAAUUCAUAGCACUACCAACUACAGCAACACCAUUCAAACGGAAACGGAAAUAGCAGAAAGAAGAGAUAAAUGAAAAUAAAUGCUAUUGGGUUCUCUAUAUUGUACGUAUGUAUAUUGUAUAUGUACAAAUAUAUAUGUGUUGAUGAUAGAAAAAGAUUUUCCAUUCGCCCCACUUGAGAUAAAAU